GUGCCCUUUCUUCUCCUUGAGGAUUGAUAAGCAGUUCUGACUAGGAAGAGGAAGAGGACCAGUGGGAGUAGGAGGGGUAGGAGAGCCUAAUAGAGGUGGAGUCAACUGAAAUAUGUCAGCCACAUGCAUGAAAGUGUCACAAUGAAACCAAUUGUAUAUAUAGUUAAUAUAUGCUGAUUAAAACACAGAAAAGAAAUCUAUAUGACUUUGUUCUAUGCCUGUUUUAUCGAAGAGGAGAGGGACUUGGAGAGAGUUUGAAACUCAACCCAGGUAGGGAAUAACAGGGCACAGUCCCUGGUAUACCCUGCUUCCUCUGUGUCACAGAGCCACUGCCCAGCAUAGCCAGGGGAAUUAGGCUACUGAACCACAUCAUUUGUGAUGGCGUGAUAACUUGAGGGACAGAUCACCAUUUAUAGGUGUUUUUAAUGUGGUUGCUUGUAAAUUUGCCCAAAAGAGGAACCAAAUUCAUGUGUUUCUUAUGGUUUCUUGAAGUUACCUCAUGUGGAAAUGUCUUUUAUGUAACGUAAGCUGCCUCUCAAGGAAAGUGUGGACAUUGCUACGGCUUAGCCUGCUACCUGAGCUUGGUGUGGGAUACACAGAAUGAGCUGAGCAGGAACCCCUAGUCCCUGAGCUGCUCAUUGACACCCUGUCUGUUGCUGGCAUCCUGGGGAGGGGAGCUGAUCGUGAUGGCUCACCUAUAAAGCCUCCAGUCUUUGCAGAGAGCUUGCUUUUCUUUCUGCUCUUAGACACAUUGAGGGGUUAGUGCUAGUGCAUGCUGACUGCAGAAUAUGGCAGAAAUCUCACAGUGGAGGCCCUGAGGGAGGAGAGAGUGGUUCAUGCCCUGGGCAAGUGGGGAGCUCAGCUGUCCUAGGAAGCUGUCUGGAGGAGGGCAUUAGCCAUGUCUUGAUCCCCAGCCUUGAGCCACUCAGUAAGAGAGGUGUAAAUUUGACAGGAAGACUGGAUCACUUUGUCUUGAUCUCUGAGAUGGUAAUAUUAACAGUUCAGUUAAAACUUGUUUAUUAUUUUGGUCACAGAAGCUUUGGGAAAUCCAUGUCAGAUGAAUCUUUAGGGGUUCCUUGUUGUCUUUUAGGUAAAUUGUGGUUAGCUGCUUAGACUCUAUUUCUUGUGAAGAUUGAAAUGUACAAGAAGUUACCUCUUCUCUGUGGAAUGCUGCAGUUUUAUUUAAUGGGAAAACUAUUCUCUUACUCCUUCCCUUCUGGGAAGAAAAUGUCCCCUGAGCAAUUGAUGCUUAUGAAAUAAAGCCUUGAAUUUUUGAUUCGGGAAUAGCUUUCAUUGUCCAAAUGACUGCUGGAUAGCCCUGAAUGUUCAUUAUUUUUAUAUAAUAAACAUUUUGCACAUAGGAAAACUCAGUGAGUUUGAUUAUUCUCAGAUGAAGUUUAGACCAGAAAUCACACAGACAGAUGAUAAAGCCAGGGAUCUAAAACGAUCAAUAAACACGAAGAGACCACCAACCAACAAGAAAGGUCUCAGAGCUUAAACCAGAGACUAGAAUACACAGGAAGGUCUCAGAGCUUAAACCAGAGCCUAGAACACACAGGAAGGUCCUGGAGCUUAAACCAGAGCCUAGAACACACAGGAAGGUCCCAGAGCUUAAACCAGAGCCUAGAACACACAGGAAGAUCCUGGAGCUUAAACCAGAGCCUAGAACACACAGGAAGGUCCCGGAGCUUAAACCAGAGCCUAGAACACACAGGAAGAUCCUGGAGCUUAAACCAGAGCCUAGAACACACAGGAAGGUCCCGGAGCUUAAACCAGAGACUAGAACACACAGGAAGGUCCCAGGGCUUAAACCAGAGCCUAGAACACACAGGAAGGUCCCGGAGCUUAAACCAGAGCCUAGAACACACAGGAAGGUCCCGGAGCUUAAACCAGAGCCUAGAACACACAGGAAGGUCCCAGGGCUUAAACCAGAGCCUAGAACACACAGAAAGGUCCCGGAGCUUAAACCAGAGCCUAGAACACACAGAAAGGUCUUGGUGCUUAAAUCAGCAACUGCUAUCAAACAAAGAAGCCAAAGUUCCACAGACAGACCGUGUCUCAAAAAGUCAAAACCAAGCCAAAUCAAAACAAUUAUUAACACGCAGGGAAGGUCCAAGAAUGUAAACCAGGGACUAUUUAAACAGUCAGGGAGGAACUUUGUUCAAACACAGUUGGAUGUCAGAACUAAGAACUCAAGAUUCUGUAAACAUUUCAUACUUUGACACUAUAUAAAAACUGAGACAGUCAUGUGUGCUGUUUUUUUUUUAUUUUAAAUCAAAUAAAGCACAAUAUUUGUGAUGUCGGGGAAAAGGUAAACCAUGUGUGCCUUUGUCCUUACUGCGUGCUGGGGACCAGGCACUCCCGUUUCUAAAAUCUGUACUUGGCUCGGAAUGCCAUAAAGAUAGCCCAAGUACUGAUUUAUACUUUGAAAAAUUCUUCCUCGGGCCUCUACGGCAUGUCUUUGUUAUCCAAGGAUAAUUAAAACCAGAAAGGGGCCACUGGUGACCCACUUAAAUGGGGACCAAGAUUCCACAAUAUGUCAGAGGGAAAAAAAACACUUUAGGUGUUGUUUUGAAAAACUAAGCUGAAAAGUUUGAAAAUAAUUUCCUUUUUGUUUAUACUUAACGAAAUGUCGGCAGUCAUUGUUACUGGUGCUGAUCUGAGCCUGGAGGGUAGGUGCUGGAGAAACCACAUUCUGCUCUCAAAGUGAUAUCAAAGUGUAGACAUCAAGAGUGGAUUAUUUUUGUGGGAGUAAACUUUUAGACAAUUUAAAAACUCCCUACCAGGCGGUGGUGGCGCAUACCUUUGAUCCCUGCACUCAGGGGGCAGAGGCAGAGACAGGAAGGCCUCUGAGUUUGAGGCCAGCCGGGUCUACAGGGUGAUUUCUAGGACAGCCAGGGCUAGAUAGAGAAAUCUUAUUUUGAAAAAAUAAACAUGUAAACAAACAAGCCAUCCCCCAAGUCCCCCAAACCAAAAUCAUUCUUGUGCUGUGAUUAAAAAAGAAAUAAAAAGGGAAGGCCGUGACUGCUCCUGGCAGAGAAGGUUUGUUAUAGGUAAGAGAGAGAGCAUAGCUAGGCGGGGACAAGUGGAAGAGUUCAGAGUAGACAGGACCAAGAACUGUGUGGGAGCAGGGGGAAGAGAGCGAGGUGAGCCAGACUAAGGCCAGGGCGGUAAAGAGUAGAUGAGAAAAACAUCAGGUAACCGAAAUAUCUGGAUUUAAUAGGGAGGAGCAGCCCAGAGGCUGGAGACGUUUAGGGUAGAGGGUGGACUUUGCCUCGUAUGCCUUACUGUAUCAGGUAAGAGUGAGGGAUGCCAGGAGAACCUGGUGGCCUGGUCCGCUUUGACUUUGAGACUUAAUAUACUGACUUCAAAUGUGCUUUUCUUCAGUGCGUGUAUGUGUGUGCACGUGUUUAUGUGAGUGCUUGUGUAUUCACAUGUGUGCGUGUUUGGGGAGGCCAGGAGUCGGCAUCGAGUGUCUCCCCUGUUCCCUGCCUUAUGCAUUGAGACAGGCACCUCACUUGAGCAUAGAGGUCACUCGUUUGGCAAAUCUAAGAAGUCAGCCUGCUCCAGAGGUCCUUUUGCUCUGCCAGGAUUACAGAUGGGCACUACACUCGUGGGCAGUUAUUUACAUAGAUUCUAAGAAUCCGAACUCUCUCAGGUCCUCAAGCUUCCUCAACAAACACUGUCCUGCCGAACCACCUGUCCUGUCUACCUAUUGGCCUUAGGAACAAUUUUGCUAAACUAUUAGUUCAUUAUGAAUUUAAGUUCAGUUGUCUUUAGCUCCUAAUACAGCCGUUACAUUGUAAUGCUUUUUCUUGUCUGUCUAUUGGUUUCUUUUUUUGUGUGGUUGCUCUUAUGUGUUUGCUUCCUGAGACAGUCUUGCUGUGUAACGCAGGCUGAUUUCUAACCUGGGGCCAUAUCCGUGCUUCUUGUUCUGUGUGUUGAGAUGGCGGGUGUGCACUGCACACCUGGCUUUCCGGUAUGUUUCCCAUCACACCCAGCACGACUAUCACGUCGUAAAGAUGGUGAAGUUAACAGAAACAUUCUAGGCAUCAGUCAUUUUUCUUGGAAUCUCUGACAAUCUUUAGUAGUAAAUUCACUCUGAAAUACCUCAUUUUGCCACCUGCUUUAUGGCUUUUCUUACGCAACUACCUCCUUAGAGCACUGCCCAGGCCCCGGGGGUGUCACUACAGUACCCUCUGGGAAGAUUUGCCAGCAUCAGUCUGCUAACAUCCUGCAGCUCCACACUGGCAGCGAGGGUUGCCGUCCUGUCUGCAGUAGAAGCACGAGCAUCUCACUGCCAGAUGGAUGGAUUUCUAAAUAGAGCCUUAGUUACGACAUGAUUGGUCAUUGGGCGAUAGCUGAAUGUUUGGAAGGCUUCUCCCAGCAGCUCCUAACCGGAAGGAGCUGGAUGGUGGAUGCCGAACAAGGAGCUGUGAGUUUUUAUUGUAGAGCGUUAGGAAAUCGGAGGCCCAUGAAUGGGCAGAGCUGAUGCCACUCUGUUCUGUCAGUAGAUAGCCCUUCCACCGGGACACAGUGCUUGGGUUUUUGGGCACACAUUUAUGGAUGUGAAAAUCGAAAAGGUUGAGACAAAAAUCCCUUCGUGUCAGCUAUCUCCACUUGUUUCCCCGGCCGCCCACAGGAAGCUCGGAGGCAGAAAUAUAGCCUAUAAUCUCCUCUCUGUCACUGACAGUGAUUCCUCUGAGUGUAAGAAGGGCAGCUCACAUGUCAGAAAGCUCGGAGGAAGAUGAAAGACAGUAACAGGAUGGAAGGGAGAAAGAAGCUGCAGAUACGUGGCAGCCAUCCUUCCUAACGCCUACCUCAGCGACCAGCGUG
ensembl:lncRNA